rnacentral:rRNA from 1 species
AUUGAACGCUGGCGGCAGGCUUAACACAUGCAAGUCGAGCGAGCGGCGGACGGGUGAGUAAUGUCUGGGAACCUGCCUGGUGGCGGGGGAUAACUACUGGAAACGGUAGCUAAUACCGCAUACCAUCAGAUGUGCCCAGCUGGGAUUAGCUAGUGGGUGGGGUAAAGGCUCACCUAGGCGACGAUCCCUAGCUGGUUGGAGAGGAUGACCAGCCACACUGGAACUGAGACACGGGCCAGACUCCUACGGGAGGCAGCAGUGGGGAAUUUUGCACAAUGGGCGAAAGCCUGAUGCAGCCAUGCCGCGUGUGUGAAGAAGGCCUUCGGGUUGUAAAGCACUUUCAGCGAGGAGGCGGUACCUGCAGAAGAAGCACCGGCUAACUACGUGCCAGCAGCCGCGGUAAUUC